GUGCAAAAAUAAUGAGACUCUUCACAUUUUGGUGAUUUUUUUCACGUGCGUGCCCCCCUCCCCCCACUAACAAUGUUGAAAACAUAUUAUUUGAUAAGCCCUGACCUCAAAAUCGUUUUAACAACAUUGCACAAGGGGGAGGGGGGGGGAAACCAUUGUUACAGGAGGGAGAGGGCCAAUAAACUGCUUGUCUCAACAAUUUUUGCACGCGAU